AUGGGCCCUAUUGAUAUUCUUGAGUUUUUUAUGAAGCGCCCUUUCUAUCCUAAAGCUACUAUAGCAUACACGAUUUUGUUAACCUUUUUUGUGACAGUUACCUAUGUGGAAAAGAGCUUUUAUAAUCUCAUGUUGUUAAAAUCCUACUUGCAUUCUACUAUGACACAAGAAAAACUCGAUGGUUUGACGACAAUAGCACUUGAGAAUGAGAAGAUUAAUAUGAAGAUAUAA
rnacentral:rRNA from 1 species